rnacentral:rRNA from 1 species
GAUCAGUAGGGGUUCUGAGAGGAAGGUCCCCCACAUUGGAACUGAGACACGGUCCAAACUCCUACGGGAGGCAGCAGUGAGGAAUAUUGGUCAAUGGGCGAGAGCCUGAACCAGCCAAGUAGCGUGCAGGAUGACGGCCCUAUGGGUUGUAAACUGCUUUUAUAGGGGAAUAAAGUGAGCCACGUGUGGUUUUUUGCAUGUACCCUAUGAAUAAGGACCGGCUAAUUCCGUGCCAGCAGCCGCGGUAAUACGGAAGGUCCGGGCGUUAUCCGGAUUUAUUGGGUUUAAAGGGAGCGUAGGCCGGAGAUUAAGCGUGUUGUGAAAUGUAGAUGCUCAACAUCUGCACUGCAGCGCGAACUGGUUUCCUUGAGUACGCAUAAAGUGGGCGGAAUUCGUGGUGUAGCGGUGAAAUGCUUAGAUAUCACGAAGAACUCCGAUUGCGAAGGCAGCUCACUGGGGCGCAACUGACGCUGAAGCUCGAAAGCGCGGGUAUCGAACAGGAUUAGAUACCCUGGUAGUCCGCGCGGUAAACGAUGGAUGCCCGCUGUUGGGCCAACUGGUUCAGCGGCCAAGCGAAAGCAUUAAGCAUCCCACCUGGGGAGUA